rnacentral:rRNA from 1 species
AGAGUUUGAUCAUGGCUCAGGACGAACGCUGGCGGCGUGCUUAACACAUGCAAGUCGAACGGGAUCCAUGGAGUAGCAAUACUCCGGAAGAUCUAGUGGCGAACGGGUGAGUAACACGUGAGCAACCUGCCCCAAAGACUGGGAUAACCCCGGGAAACCGGGGCUAAUACCGGAUGCCCUCAUCGGGUCGCAUGGCCUGAUGAGGAAAUGAAUUUCGCUUUGGGAGGGGCUCGCGGGAUAUCAGCUUGUUGGUGGGGUAACGGCCUACCAAGGCUUCGACGUCUAGCUGGUCUGAGAGGACGAUCAGCCACACUGGGACUGAGACACGGCCCAGACUCCUACGGGAGGCAGCAGUGGGGAAUCUUGCCCAAUGGGCGAAAGCCUGAGGCAGCAACGCCGCGUGUGGGAUGACGGCCCUCGGGUUGUAAACCACUUUCAGCAGGGACGAAAUUGACGGUACCUGCAGAAGAAGCUCCGGCCAACUACGUGCCAGCAGCCGCGGUAAUACGUAGGGAGCGAGCGUUGUCCGGAUUUAUUGGGCGUAAAGCGCGCGUAGGCGGUUUGAUAAGCCGGGUGUGAAACCUCCAAGCUCAACUUGGAGCGGCCACUCGGAACUGUCAUGACUUGAGUCAGGUAGGGGAACACGGAAUUCCAGGUGUAGCGGUGAAAUGCUUAGAUAUCUGGAGGAACACCAGUGGCGAAGGCGGUGUUCUGGGCCUGUACUGACGCUGAUGCGCGAAAGCGUGGGGAGCGAACAGGAUUAGAUACCCUAGUAGUCC